UACGUAGGCAGCGAGCGUUGUUCGGAGUUACUGGGCGUAAAGAGUGCGUAGGCGGCUCGGUAAGUCGGGUGUGAAACCUCCAGGCUCAACCUGGAGACGCCACCCGAUACUGCUGUGGCUAGAGUCCGGUAGGGGAGCGUGGAAUUCCUGGUGUAGCAGUGAAAUGCGCAGAUAUCAGGAGGAACACCAGCGGCGAAGGCGGCGCUCUGGGCCGGAACUGACGCUGAUGCGCGAAAGCUAGGGGAGCAAACAGG
rnacentral:rRNA from 1 species